AUUGAACGCUGGCGGCAGGCCUAACACAUGCAAGUCGAGCGAGCGGCGGACGGGUGCAUAAUGUAUGGGGACUGCCCGAUAGAGGGGGAUAACUACUGGAAACGGUGGCUAAUACCGCAUACUAUCGGAUAACCCAUAUGGGAUUAGCUAGUAGGUGGGGUAAAGGCUCACCUAGGCGCAGAUCUCUCGCUGGUCUGAGAGGAUGAUCCGCCCCACUGGGACUGAGACACGGCCCAGACUCCUACGGCGGCAGCAGGGGGGAAGAUUGCACAAGGGGCGCAAGCCUGAUGCAGCCAUGCCGCGUGUAUGAAGAAGGCCUUAGGGUUGUAAAGUACGUUCAGCGGGGAGGCGUUACCCGCAGAAGAAGCACCGGCUAACUCCGUGCCAGCCGCCGCGGUAAUUC
rnacentral:rRNA from 1 species